rnacentral:rRNA from 1 species
CUACGGGUGGCACCAGUGAGGAAUAUUGCACAAUGGGGGGAACCCUGAUGCAGCAACGCCGCGUGGAGGAUGACGCAUUUCGGUGUGUAAACUCCUUUUAUAUGUCAAGAAAAUGACGGUAGCAUAUGAAUAAGCACCGGCUAACUCCGUGCCAGCAGCCGCGGUAAUACGGAGGGUGCAAGCGUUACUCGGAAUCACUGGGGGUAAAGGACGCGUAGGCGGGUUGGAAAGUCAGGUGUGAAAUCCUACAGCUUAACUGUAGAACUGCACUUGAAACUUCUAAUCUAGAGUAGGGGAGGGGGAGAUGGAAUUAGUGGUGUAGGGGUAAAAUCCGUAGAUAUCACUAGGAAUACCUAAAGCGAAGGCGAUCUCCUGGAACAUUACUGACGCUAAGGCGUGAAAGCGUGGGGAGCAAACAGGAUUAGAUACCCGGGUGUC